rnacentral:lncRNA from 1 species
ACCCAAGAGGGGCGUUUAGUCGUAGCGGACUGGAAUUGGCUGCGACCUGCAUUAGACGUAGCGGAACUAGACAUCAAGUCUGCGAGGUGGUCCCUUAAGGUCGCUUGGCCUCGAGUGGUUUGUUUGUUUGUUUGUUUUUUACUGCGUGCCCAAUCGCUCCUAUUCCCUCAGCUCCCAGCAACCCCAGUUCAACCGUUUUCCCCUGGCUGUAGCGCUAGCGGCCUGUCGAAAGCAGUCCUCACUGGUGGGACCUGGGCCUCUCCACCCUGCUGUGUACACGCUUACCAGCGGGGGUCUUGUCUGACGACCCCUGGCUUCCUUUCUUGGUCUUUGCAUACGCUCCCUAAGUGCCGCGGCCGUCCCCGGAGCCUUUCCGGUUGCCUUAGUGCGCACGCGCCCCUUGGGUCUGGGCUUUGCCGACCGUCCCUAGGCUUCUGUCGCUCGCCACCUCCCGUUGGUUUAUGA